GUGCUCGCUUCAGCAGCACAUAUACUAAAAUUG
rnacentral:snRNA from 1 species